GUGGGUAUAGCUCAGUGGUAGAGCACAUGCUUAGCAUGCAUAAGGUCCUGGGUUCAAUCCCCAGUGCCUCCA
rnacentral:tRNA from 1 species